UGGGGAAUAUUGCACAAUGGGCGCAAGCCUGAUGCAGCAACGCCGCGUGAGGGAUGACGGCCUUCGGGUUGUAAACCUCUUUUAGCAGGGAAGAAGCGAAAGUGACGGUACCUGCAGAAAAAGCACCGGCUAACUACGUGCCAGCAGCCGCGGUAAUACGUAGGGUGCAAGCGUUGUCCGGAAUUAUUGGGCGUAAAGAGCUCGUAGGCGGUCUGUCGCGUCUGCUGUGAAAUCCCCGAGGCUCAACCUCGGGCCUGCAGUGGGUACGGGCAGACUAGAGUGCGGUAGGGGAGAAUGGAACUCCUGGUGUAGCGGUGGAAUGCGCAGAUAUCAGGAAGAACACCGAUGGCGAAGGCAGUUCUCUGGGCCGUAACUGACGCUGAGGAGCGAAAGCGUGGGGAGCGAACAGGAUUAGAUACCCUGGUAGUCCACGCCGUAAACGUUGGGCGCUAGAUGUGGGGACCAUUCCACGGUUUCCGUGUCGCAGCUAACGCAUUAAGCGCCCCGCCUGGGGAGUACGGCCGCAAGGCUAAAACUUGAAAGGAAUUGACGGGGUCAUAGCU
rnacentral:rRNA from 1 species